UACGGAGGAUGCGAGCGUUAUCCGGAUUUAUUGGGUUUAAAGGGUGCGUAGGCGGCCGAGUAAGUCAGCGGUGAAAUUUUGCAGCUUAACUGUAACGGUGCCGUUGAUACUGCAUGGCUAGGAUUUGGUUGCUGUGGGUGGAAUGUGUGGUGUAGCGGUGAAAUGCUUAGAUAUCACACAGAAUAUCAAUUGCGAAGGCAGCUCACAAAGCCAAGAUUGACGCUGAGGCACGAAAGUGUGGGGAUCAAACA
rnacentral:rRNA from 1 species